rnacentral:rRNA from 1 species
UCGGGAAUAUUGCGCGAUGGAGGAAACUCUGACGCAGUGACGCCGCGUGCAGGAAGAAGGUUUUCGGAUUGUAAACUGCUUUAGACAGGGAAGAAACAAGACAGUACCUGUAGAAUAAGCUCCGGCUAACUACGUGCCAGCAGCCGCGGUAAUACGUAGGGAGCAAGCGUUAUCCGGAUUUAUUGGGUGUAAAGGGUGCGUAGACGGGAAUGCAAGUUGGUUGUGAAAUCCCUCGGCUCAACCGAGGAAUUGCAACCAAAACUAUAUUUCUUGAGUGCUGGAGAGGAAAGUGGAAUUCCUAGUGUAGCGGUGAAAUGCGUAGAUAUUAGGAGGAACACCAGUGGCGAAGGCGACCUUCUGGACAGUAACUGACGUUGAGGCACGAAAGUGUGGGGAGCAAACAGGAUUAGAUACCC